GCUAUAAAAAAGUGUAAAUGACGGACAGGCCUCGUGCUUUGUUUAACAAAGCUGCUGGAACUUUCUGCCAACCGACCUCUUCACCGAAAAAUGUUGGAAACCGAUUUCACGUUGGGAGUUUGGACGAAAAUUUUAUUCACAGUUCUGUGUUUUUAUUGUGUAAUUUUGUCAAUCAGGAUCACCGAAAAUUAACACCCACAAUCCACGAGGCCAAACUUGUCUUGUUGCGUCACUGAGCAGGAGUGAUAUUUUAUAAAUUGUUUCACUAUUAGAACCUCUGCUGUGACCGAACUGCUUCCCAAACUAUGAGCAAAAUAAUCGACUGCGAAAGUUGUAGCUGUCCCCUUCAGCGCAGGCGCUAGUUCUUCCCCUUUGAUUGAACAGUUGUCCCCCUCCUCCUCCACAUCCCCACCAUCCCCUGCCUUCCAUCUUAAGAGCGUUGCCUUCGUUGAAAUCGGCGGGAGGAACACGUCUCAGCCAGACUUAAACCCAGCAACGGCCAGCAACGACCUCUACAGCAGUAGCCUGGUUAGCGGGAUGCGUGCACGGAGGGACUGAUUAUCUGCCAUUGCGAAGGAGGAGGAGCGAGACGGCGCUGUCUGGUCGUACAGAAGGAAAAGUCAUGAAGACGCAGACAACCUGACACAGGGAAUGAAGACGAACUGGAUUACAUUGUCAAAGCUGCAACUGAUGGGAGAGCAGGUCCGGUUCUUCCUGGGAUCUCGCGAGACUGUUGCCUUUACUAACGGGAUUGUCCAUGCCAGCGCACACAGCCAUACAACAGUUAUUCCGGUUGAUCGUUUGUGAAUUGACUGGCUUGAAAUUGAUGGAUUGACUGUCCAGCUGACU